UACGUAGGGGGCUAGCGUUGUCCGGAUUUAUUGGGCGUAAAGAGCGUGUAGGCGGUUUGGUAGGUCCGCUGUGAAAACUCGAGGCUCAACCUCGAGACGCCGGUGGAAACCAUCAGACUAGAGUCCGGAAGAGGAGAGUGGAAUUCCUGGUGUAGCGGUGAAAUGCGUAGAUAUCAGGAGGAACACCUGUGGUGUAGACAGCUUACUGGACCAUCACUGACGCUGAGACACGAAAGCGUGGGUAGCAAACAGG
rnacentral:rRNA from 1 species